GAUUGUGGGUCACCCCCCACACAAGCCUGCGAGGACCGUUAAGGUCCAGUCUCCGCACGCACCCACCCACCCACGCCUUCCUGCAUCCAACCUGCAGAGUGGAGGUACCUGCAGCGUGGAGGAGGCUGGGAGACCCUACGCGCUUCACAGCAGGCCUGGUUGGAGAAGCAGCCCGGAAAGUACCGGGGAUUGAACUCAGGACCUUACACUUUUGAGGAAAUGCUACAGCUCUCAGCAAGUGCUACAGCAGACAAAGACCAAGAAGCCAGCAGUACCCAAGGUUUUGAGGCAGUUGUACACCUGUAUCAAUGCCGGCAGUCCUGGCUGGGAUCACUCCCGAAGAGUCAGUCCCUGAAAGCACAGUGUGCAGGGUCUUUGCAGGGUUUGUGAGCAAGCAGGAAAUACAGAAGAGGAGGGCUUGUUGUUAGUUGAUUGGACAGAAAGUUGCAUUGAGUUUCACCCUUUUCACAUAUGGUAGGAACAGGAAGGUGUUACAUGAUUGGUCAAAAAGUUACAUUCUGAUUUCACCUAUUUUACAUAUGGUGGGAAGAGGGUCAAAAGGUUACACCAUUCUGGGGAAACAAACUCAUUGAGACCAAAAGACUUACUGAAGGGAUCUCCCAACUGGGAGCAAGUAUAUUUUCUGCUCUAAUAAUAUUUCUGCCUAGCUCUUGUAUCUAUAAUAAUACUUUCUAAAGGCUAGGGAUACAUAGCUUAGCGGUGGAGUGCUUGCUUGGUACAUGCAACUCCCUGAGUUCAGUGUCCAGCGCUGCAAAAGAAAAAAAAAAAAAGAAAGUCAUCCUUUCUAGAGACUGCUUUUAUUCUCUCUGAAGAAGUAAACCUUGUUGGGAAAGAGUCAUUGUGUGAAAAAAGCUAGUAUCAUCCUUGGGCAGGGGCCUCUUGGUUUAAGAAACCCUUAUAGAAUAGUGAGGGUGACUAGGAGUUCUCAAGAUGAGGGUUAAAAAUAAAAGUUGGAGAAUGGAUGUUUCAUUUUAAUUUGCCGUAUUUCCCAUAGCCUUCAGGUUCUGUGGAAAGAAGGCUUGACUCUUAAGAACUCUUAUAUCCCCAACAAUAGGAAUGCAGCAAGUGCUUGUUGAAUUAAUGAGUAAAAUGGGCCAGUCUGUUUCAAAGACUUGACUUUAUUAAGGACCAUGAGGCUGGGUAUAAGACCACUAAUGGGGGAGAAGGAUUGGAUUUAUUUCUGAAUACAGCAGAGAUUUAUUGAUACCAAGGACAGCUGUGUGGGGUUCAGCAGAUGCCAAACGAGCACGAGCCAGCAGGGGUGUGUGGGGGUGGGGUGGGGUGGGGUGAGCGGAAUG